GGCAUAUUAGAGCUCAGUGAGAGCCCAUAACAUUAUCCAGCAGUGUCGUCUUGAUUUAAUUGGGAGUUGAGCAACUUUUCCAUAAACAAAAUUCUGAUGCUGACACAGAGGAUGGAGUGAUAAUACCAGAGAUCAACUGUCUCCAUCAGACAAUAAUGUUACUUUGUUCAGACAUAUCACCUUUGAAUGACUGGGAUCCUGAUCUUCAGACACCUGAUGUAUUUUAUUUUAAUAUUAUAAAAUAGCAAAUAUUUUAAUUUCUUUGGAGCUCUAGAUUAAAACAAACACAGU